AUUUAUAUAGUUUAUUACAAAACACUUCAUUUUCAAUGAAGAGAGGGGAUUUUCCCUAUAAAUA
rnacentral:tRNA from 1 species